rnacentral:lncRNA from 1 species
CUGGCACAGGCUUGGGCGAGGUGGCAGCUGCAGCUGUGGGUGGCUUUGUUCUUAGAAGCAGCUUUCAGGGCUGUGGUUCAGCCUGGCAGCAGUGUUCCGGGAAUAGGUGAGACAGGAGAGCUGCCCCCUGGUAGCAGUGCCACCUUCCACCACAGCGAUGCUCUAUUUCUGUUGACAGCCAGAGAGUCUUGCUCCCUGGGGUCACCAGCCGGGCUCACUGCUUGGCAGGGUGGGUGCUAUACUUCCAUGUGGCCUGCCUUCCAGAGGGGAGAGGCCCUGAAGAGUCUGGCGGUAAGUCUGGAGGAGCGUCCCUGUCAGGAGAGGGCAGUGUGUACCCUUGGGCAUCCUGCAGCCUGGCAUUCCUUCUGCUCUCUCUUUGCAGCUCCGGAGUUGGGCUGCUCACAGACCAAGCUGUCUGUUUGUAUGGAGUGCCUGGAGGGCGUCUGCCACGAGUCUGUUGCUAACCGUGCUAACCAGGAGAGCUGGCUGGUUGGGGAGAAGACACUAACCCUGCUGGGAAAGGAGAAGGGGGGUCCAGAGGUUGCAGGAAGGCUGACUGCGUGGGGCUCCCUGGUGGUUUGCACAGUAGUCUUCAGCCCCUUUCUUCCUGUCGAGUAUUGGCUUGAACAAGAGGCCAGGUGGAUAGACUCAAGGUAUUUGCCCUGGUGGGGAGCCAGGUAAGCUCUCACAGGUCACCAGCACUACUUCUGAGACCUCAGGGUGACUCUGGGGCAGGAUAUUCCCCCCCAUUCUGGUUUGUUAAAUACCUGUAGUCUGUUCCGCUUAGAGUGGGCAGGGGGCCAGGUUAGCGCCGCAGGCAGCAUGUCCCAAAAGGGUGAGGUUGUACUUUCCCAGAGGGGUGGCAGGCCUGCCUGGGGGAGGGGCAGUGGGGCUGGUCUGGGCACAGACUGGCAUCUUCCAGCCUUGUCAUCGGCCCAGAGGAGAGCCUGCCCGGGCCCCACCCGUGUUCUGCUGGCUGCUUGCCUGCCACGCGCCCAGGAUCGCUCAGGGCUUUGCUCAGGUAUCUCGGGAACAGCUGCGCCGGAAACUGGGGGCCGGUGCUGGGAGGAUGGAACACAGGCUGCUUCAGUAGGAUCGGUUCUC